CCGAAGUACAGGCCCUCUCGUAGGGCUAAACUUCCACCCUUUGUUUACUAUUCUUUGUUGCUUUGGCGAGACGUCUUCGGACCACCGGCUCUCGGGCUGGUGCGCGCUCGCCAGAGGAAAAUCAAACCCAAACCAUUUUUAGUGUCGUCUGAUAAACAAGUUUAAUUAUUA
rnacentral:misc_RNA from 1 species